GAAGGGGAACAGCUCUGAAUUAAGAGCUGGUAAAAUUAUGAAACUGAAAAGAACCAUAUUAUUAUAUGCUAUUAUUUUGACUUUUUAUUUCCCCUUGCUUUACAUUAUUUUGGUUAAAGAUUUCUCGUGUGCUUCCUGGUGGCUGGGAAGGAUUGGAUCCAGAAGAAAGCUGUUUGUGUAAGUGCUGGGUGGGCACUAACACCUUGGUGUAAGUCCCAGCCCCCAGCAAUGCUGAAGAAGGAGGAGUGGUGCUGGUGGUACUGAUGAUGCAUUUCACCUGGCUUCUGUUCACCUGACUGCUGCUUAAAACACCGUGGGUAUAGCUAAGUAGCCACAUAUAUAUCAGAUGCUGUGGAAAAACAAAGGUGGGGAGGAGAUCUCUAAAACUGGCUUGAUAACAGAAAUCCACAGCUGUAAAUGGAUAAGUGAAGGACUGCUCCAUCCAACCCCUCGCUGUUUCAGGUGCGGAGUGUCAUGAAUUGCCAUCCUGAUGAAGUCCCGGGCAGGCUGGAAGAUCCUCAUUUCAUUGUUCUUCAGCAUCCUGUCUCCGGGAGGCGAAGAGGUGCUGCUGUGAUCUACAAAAGCUCGGGCAGAGCCUCUCUGCCAUGAGGGGCAGCUGGGGAAGGCUGCCGGGGGGCUGGGCGCAGCAAGGACUGCCCAAGUCCUUAGACACCUGGGUGGCUGUGUCAGAUUUCCUCAUCAUCUGGCACCCGUGGAGGAGUCUUAUCGGCAGUGCAGUACAACAGCAUAUGCUUCUGCAGUUUCUUGCUUGAACGCUGGUGUCAGACGUACCCACCUCCUCGCUGACCUGUGCUCCGUACCGGCCAUCCUUCAUGCAGGAGGUGCGACCCCAGGACAGCUGCAGGAACGUGGACAGGCAACAAGCAGCCAGCGCUGGGAGGCCUCCCUGGUGCAAGGUGUACCUGCAGCAAUGCAUGAACAGCGUUAAAGCGGAGGAGCCAUUCAAGUGGACAUGACUCUCAAUGCUCAGAAUGAGGUACUUACCAGCAGCCAUCCAGUAAUGGAAAGCGACAGAAAUGGCCAAUUAGAGGCCAAAGACGGAUGACAUAAAACGUGUAGACACACAAGCUCUAGACUAAGAUCCACACACAGGUCCCAGCGCAGACCAGCAUCAUUGUUCCUGGCAGACAAGUACCUGUAAGGGCACACACCUCAUGUCAGAGUUGACAGUUCAAGUUCCUUACUUGCCAUUGGCACACGAGCGGGACAAAGCCUUUGGCCGUGCUGUAUUAAUGUAGCUGGUCCCAGCACCCAGAGCCUUGGCUAGGGCAGCAGUUCUCCCACGCGUGUAUGUCCUGUGGGAUCAUCUAGUGCAUGAAAUUAUGCCUGCCGUUUCCUCAUGCUGGGGCACAAAUGUUCAACGCGCC